rnacentral:lncRNA from 1 species
CGCAACAGGAGCCUGGCCGCCUGUCGUGCCGCCUCGGUCGAGCGAGCGCAGCUGCGGUCAUGUGGCGGCGUCGGGUGAGCCUGAUCGCCUGAUUUUCUUCUCUAUCUGCUCUAGUUCUUUUUCUUAAUGGGCCUUUAUUUUAGGCCAAAUCUAAAGAGUUAAUUUUUGGACCAUGACUAGGACCAUGGCCCUACUGGCCCUAGGCCCGCCCCUGGCACACAACCACAAUCACACACGCACAGGAGCGGUUGCGAACUUGGACUCGUUUUGACACAGCGGCUCUGCCACGCCAAGAUCUAUGGCGCGGCAGGUUCUGCCACGUCAGCCAUGCACGACUAGUCAUAUACCGCGUUAGUAGCUUUGUCGCACCGCCAUGCAUGGCGCGGCAGAGUACAAGAGCCGUGCCAUGUAUGGUGGCGCGGUCAAAAGGGUUAUAUUUUAAAAAAAAUAAAUUUAGGUGUCAAAUUUGAAAAUUGUUUUUAAAAAAUGUUAAAAAUAAAAAAAUCACGAAGGGAGAUCUAGAGUUGUGCUGCCUCACAGAGGGAUAAUGACGCACGUGUGAGGAUGAGGCUAACGGCGGGCAUGGUUGAUGGAGGGUGAAGGCGGAGAGAAGGGAGCCAGAGGCGAUGAGCCAAGGGUGCGAGUAUGCAUACGCCUUGUUUAGUUCCUAAUUUUUUUACUUCUUUCGUUUGUAUUUGAUAAAAAUUAUCCCAUCAUAAACUAACUAGACUUAAAGAUUCGUCUCACAAACUGUGUAAUUAGUUUUUGUUUUUGUCUAUAUGUAAUCCUUCUUUUACUACUACUACUACUGCUGCUACUACUACUACUGCUCCUACUACUGCUGUUGUAGUAUGAUAGAAUUCUGGAGAAUUUUAUCUUUGAAAAUCUUUAAAAUGUUACAUGAUGAGUUACUAUAUGAUGAGAGUUUAAAUUCCUACCACAGCCAUAUAUACAUACUUAUUAGACUAAGAACCAUACAUUUACUGUUUAUGAGCAUUGAGUGUGGUCAAGCUAUGUAGACCCUUAGGAGCUUAUCAUACGGUUAAAAUAAAGAUUCACUUGCACGUGCACUCAUAUAUGCUACUUCUACUUCAGAAGUACGCAUCUACACACAUCCACUUAUUUCCAUCUCCAGAUCCACCUAAAAUUAUUCUACUACUAUCCGAGAGAGAAUAGCCAAAAAACAUUCUCCUAUUUCUGUUAUUCCCUGUGAAAUAAAUACUCGAGUUAUCUUGGUUACUACCACUUACUACAUUAUUCCAGGCUCUGAAAAAAAGAGAAUACGAGGAAAUAAAAAGGAACAAGUGCCCAAAACCUCGAAGAAAAAAAAAGUGAGACGAGAGGUAAAAAUGGAUAAGUGUCCGACAACAGAAUUAGGGGUACAAGAUACCCACCUGAGAGAAAAGAAAAAAAAAGAGAAAAAAAAUAUAGAGCAUCUCAUUCUCCUCAAAAAGCUUCAAAGUACA